rnacentral:lncRNA from 1 species
AUGAGCCCCAAAGGACAUCGCUUGAGCACCCACCUGCUUGGUGAGGAGGAUCUCCGCCUGCUUGGUGUCACGAAGGAACUCCUGGAAGUUGCGGCACUGGGUGAGGAAGCGCUUCCGAGCCUCUGCCAUCUUGCCCAGGGCAGCCCAGCCGUCCUUCACGCCGCCCAGGCGCUGCCGCAGCCCCUCGUAUUCGGGAUCCGUCUGUCCCCCCAGCACCCGCUCCCCCGCCUCCACCAAGGCGGCGAAGGCUCCCGCAUGGUCCUCAGCAUCGCGCCGGGCCGCUUCGUGCCGCUGCAGCAUCUCCUCUGCCUCCCCCAGCGACGCCGGCACCUCAUCGACGGCCGCCACGGCUUUCUGAGCGCCGAAGAGCCACGCCUGGAAGUCAUCCAGGUCCUGCAGGAAACUCCGGAGCUGCCCGGCUUCCCCCAGGGACGCUGCGCGCUCUGCCAGGGCUGCCUGCAGCUCGUCCCAGGCGGAGGUGGCCAUGGCCAGCUUCUGGGCCACCUCGGUGGCCGCCUCGGGCCGCUCCUCUGCCAGGCGCUCGGCUUGGGAGCGCAGGGCGGCCAGGCGGUCCUGGGCCACCGCCAGCUCCCGCUCGAUGCCGUAGAGCUUGCGCUGCGUAGCCAGGACACCGGCCAGGUCACGGCCCAGCUCGGCCGUGGCCUCCACCGCCCGGGCUUUGCUCCGCAGCCAUUUCUGGGUCUCCUCGGACUCCAGGUUGUAGUUGAGGAGGCGCAGUGCCGAGCCCACCGCCCUCCGGCGCUCCGACACCAGCUCUCGGAAUCGGCCCCACCUGCGGGACAGAGGCGGGGGGGAUGGCGGGGAAUGCACCGGCACCGUGUCACCACCUGCCCCCGCACCACCGCCACCACGGCCAGCGUACCUCUCAUUGAGCUGCUCCCGGCACUGCCGGACCUGGGGGCUCCGGGGGUGCCCGCUAGCCAGGAGCCCGUCAGCAGCCUGGUUGACCGCGGCGAUCUGGGAAGCCACGGUGGCCAUGUCUUGCUCCAGCCCGUCCAGCCUGUGGGAACGUCCAGGCUUAGAACGAGCAGCAGCUCAGGACAGGGCACGGCAGCACCACCACGGCAGGGGCUCCUUCCUACCUGCGCUGCGUCACGUCCAGGUCUUCCAGCGCCUGCGGCACCUCCAGCUCCGCCAGCCAGGUCUCCUUGGAGCCCAUCCAUAGAUGGCAGGCAUCACUCUCCCCGAAAACAGUGUAGAGGUUCAGGGCAUCCUGCAGCUGGCGGCCGCGGCGCUCGGCCAGCGCGGCCGCCUCGGCGUGCAGCUCCCGCAGGGCCGCCAGCCGGCUCUGCGCCUCGGGGCCGGCGCGCAGCUCCGGCGGGAAGCCCUCGGCCUGCUGAGCCAGCCUGUCCAGCUGCUCCCGGGCGGCCGCCAGCUCGUCCAGCAGCUCCUGGUGCUGCCGCAGCAGGACCAGGGUGCGGGAUUCAUCCUGGCCCAGCUCCUCGGCGGCCGCCCGCCGGCGGGCAUCCUGCAGCCCCUCCGCCAACUCCUCCACCUCCCCCUGGAACUGGAAGAAGCCCUCGGCUUCCCGCAGGCCGCGCCAUCGGAACGCCGCCAGCUCCUCCAGCUGCGCCCACAGUGCCCGCACGGCCGCCCCCCGCUCCCGCAGCUGCUCGGCCGCCCUGCCCGCGGCCGCCAGCCCCUCGGCCACCGCCAGCGUCUGCUCCAGCCGCCCGCCCCGGCUCCGCAGCUCGGCCUCAAAGGCAGCGUGCCGGCGCUGGAGCAGCAGCACGCCCGGCAGGUCCUUCCCGAAGUCCAGGGAGGAGUAGAGCUGCUCCUGCUCCUUGA